UCAGUCUCCUUGUGGGAGAAGAUGCCUUUGAAAACUGGAGUUUGGGGCAGGCCACUUGGAGGGAAAAGACUUAAAAUGCCAGAGUGCCAGAGCAUUCUAGAGCAUCAUUAAAGGAGACAGUUACCACACCACUUCCUGGAAGGCACCACGCCCUGCAACUAUGGACCUCACCAACUACACUGCUUCAGUACCCUGACGGUGCCCCGUAGAUAUUCUAGCCCCGCAUUGUCCAGUAUGGCAGCCACCAGCCCCAUGUGGCCUUUGAGCACUUGAAAUGCGGCCGUUCUGAAUUGAGAUGUGCUGUGAGUGUAAAAUACACACAGGAUUUUGAAAAUUGAGUACAAAAGAAGGAAGAGAGAGAGAGAGUAAGGUGGGGAGGCGAGAAGGAAAGAGAAAAUCGUAAGCAGGCUCCACACCCAGGAGCCCAACGCGGGCUUCCAUCUCACAAUGCUGAGAUCACGACCCUGAGAUCAUGACCUGAGCCGAAAUCAAGAGUCCAACACUUAAAAUCGACUGAGCCAUCCAGGCGCCCCUCUUCUUUAUAUCUAUUUAACAUGUCUGAUCGUCUGAUCCUUCCUCUGGCUUCCAGAACAUAUGAAAUAAAGUUAUAAUGACUA